GGGUAUGUAGCUCAAUUGGCAGAGUGUGUGCUUAGCAUACACAAGAUCCUGGGUUCAAUCCCCAUUACCUCCA
rnacentral:tRNA from 1 species